UACGUAGGGUGCGAGCGUUGUCCGGAAUUAUUGGGCGUAAAGAGCUCGUAGGCGGUGUGUCACGUCGGCCGUGAAAACCUGCAGCUUAACUGUGGGCGUGCGGUCGAUACGGGCAUCACUGGAGUUCGGCAGGGGAGACUGGAAUUCCUGGUGUAGCGGUGAAAUGCGCAGAUAUCAGGAGGAACACCGGUGGCGAAGGCGGGUCUCUGGGCCGAAACUGACGCUGAGGCACGAAAGCGUGGGGAGCAAACAGG
rnacentral:rRNA from 1 species